rnacentral:misc_RNA from 1 species
UUUGCCCCCAACACUUGGACCUGGUGUCUAUCUUGGUGCAGUUGAGAGAGCCACUUCAUUCAUCACAGACGACCUUUGGUAUGGCAUUUUCGCUGGAAUAAACCCUGGUAAGCAGAUUCCAAAUUAUAAGUCUAAUUAUAGCAACCCACAUAUCUAUUUAAUGAAAUGGACAUUACUCUUUGACUAAACUCUGCAGUGUCAGGGACACUGUGGUGUUAAAGCUGAUUGAGGGACCUGUAUAAUGCUUAGCUUCAAUAUGAAUAGGGCUUUUUUUCUUCUUUUUCUCUCCUACUCAUUUUAUAAUGCUUAGCUCCAAUGGUUCAACCCAAAGCUUUUAAUUUUUCACUUACUAUACAAUGGUUGGCACACCUUGCAGAGACAUUUGUCAGAGCAGAUGGGGCAUUCAUCCCAUUUGCUGAUGAUUUUGAUAUGUCCACUG